GAAGGAAAACGUGUCAGUAAAAGGAGAAAUGACACCGCGUCUGAAUGCCUACCGGAUUUCCAAUACAUAGCUACAGUUGUUGUCAAAAUAUAUCCAGACACCGAAACUAAAAUAUCUGAACUGGAACUUUUUAUUUCAAAUGGAAUUCGUCAAAUAUUCAUGCAGUCAGAUGAUCUUAACUCGCAAAUAGUCUUGCCAGUUGAAAUAACCAAUAAUUCAAAGAGAGAGUUGACUGACAG